ensembl:snRNA U6 U6 spliceosomal RNA
GUGCUUCAGCAGCAUAUAUUCUAAAAUUGGAACAAUAAAGAGAAGAUUAGCAUGGCCCCUGCACAAGGAUGACACACAAAUUCCUGAAGCAGUCCAUAUUUUA